rnacentral:rRNA from 1 species
CCUACGGGCGGCAGCAGUGGGGAAUAUUUGACAAUGGGGGGAACCCUGAUCCAGCCAUGCCGCGUGUGUGAAGAAGGCCCUCGGGUUGUAAAGCACUUUCAGUGAGGAAGAACGCCUGGUGGUUAAUACCCAUCAGGAAAGACAUCACUCACAGAAGAAGCACCGGCUAACUCCGUGCCAGCAGCCGCGGUAAUACGGAGGGUGCGAGCGUUAAUCGGAAUUACUGGGCGUAAAGCGCGCGUAGGUGGCUUGAUAAGCCGGUUGUGAAAGCCCCGGGCUCAACCUGGGAACGGCAUCCGGAACUGUCAAGCUAGAGUGCAGGAGAGGAAGGUAGAAUUCCCGGUGUAGCGGUGAAAUGCGUAGAGAUCGGGAGGAAUACCAGUGGCGAAGGCGGCCUUCUGGACUGACACUGACACUGAGGUGCGAAAGCGUGGGUAGCAAACAGGAUUAGAUACCCCAGUAGUC